ACACCAUGUGUGCGUUACGGUUCCGUAUCUGACGACAAGCAGCAGAUCGGAUGAAAAGGGAACACGGUGCGGACGACCCAAUCGGGGCCAAUUCCGUGGCUGCCCUCGCAACUGUAACCGGCGAGCCCGUCGCCAAACUGCCACUGGCCCAUUGGGCUGGGAAGGCGACGACGGGCGCUCGAGCCGGGAGCCAGUAGACCUGCCGGAACAACACGACCUUU
rnacentral:ncRNA from 2 species